rnacentral:tRNA from 1 species
GGUCCUGUGGUGUUCGUGGUUAUCACGUCUGCUUUACACGCAGGUCGCCGGUUCGAUCCCGGCCAGGACCU